UAGUGGCGAACGGGUGAGUAACACGUGAGUAACCUGCCCUUGACUCUGGGAUAACCUCCGGAAACGGAAGCUAAUACCGGAUAUGACGCACGGAGGCAUCUCCUGUGCGUGGAAAGAAUUUCGGUCAAGGAUGGACUCGCGGCCUAUCAGGUAGUUGGUGAGGUAACGGCCCACCAAGCCUACGACGGGUAGCCGGCCUGAGAGGGUGACCGGCCACACUGGGACUGAGACACGGCCCAGACUCCUACGGGAGGCAGCAGUGGGGAAUAUUGCACAAUGGGCGCAAGCCUGAUGCAGCAACGCCGCGUGAGGGACGACGGCCUUCGGGUUGUAAACCUCUUUUAGUAGGGAAGAAGCGAAAGUGACGGUACCUGCAGAAAAAGCACCGGCUAACUACGUGCCAGCAGCCGCGGUAAUACGUAGGGUGCGAGCGUUGUCCGGAAUUAUUGGGCGUAAAGAGCUCGUAGGCGGUCUGUCGCGUCUGCUGUGAAAUCCCGAGGCUCAACCUCGGGCCUGCAGUGGGUACGGGCAGACUAGAGUGCGGUAGGGGAGAAUGGAAUUCCUGGUGUAGCGGUGGAAUGCGCAGAUAUCAGGAGGAACACCGAUGGCGAAGGCAGUUCUCUGGGCCGUAACUGACGCUG
rnacentral:rRNA from 1 species